AUUGGUCAAGGUAUGAAUGUAGGACCUGCCCGGUGACUAGUUAAAACUAGUUUAACGGCUGCGAAUGAGUACUAAGGUAGCGUAGUGGUUUGCCCUUUAAUUGGGGGAUAGUAUGAAUGGAUUGUCAUAGGGAGACUGUCUUUGCUUCAGUUUAAGUGAAGUUUUUAUUUGAGUGAGAAAACUUAGUUUUUUGUAAAAGAAGAGAAGACCCUGUUGAACUAGAUUAGAGCUACUAAGGUUGAAUUUAAAGUUAGUAAGGUUAAUUGAAAGAGUUUAGUUUUAGUCUGCUUGAAGUUUUGUUGGGAAAACAAGAAGAAGUAAAGGAACUCUUCGGUUAUAAGAGGACCCUGUAAGAUAGCAAUGUGCAGUAGUUACCACAGGGAUAACAGCGCCAACUUCCCCGAGAGGUCUUAUUGGAGGGGAGAAGUGCGACCUCGAUGUUGAAUUAGGGUUACUUUAUGGUAGUAGGAGCUAUGAAAAGUAAGACUGUUCGUCUUUUAAUUCCCUACAUGAUCUGAGUUCAGACCGGA
rnacentral:rRNA from 1 species